GUCUGACAGCACACACAAAGCAUAUGUUAUGAUGCGGAGAGGAUUAGCAUGGCCCCUGUACAAUGAUGACGUGGAGAUUCAUGACACAUCACUCCAUAUUUUU